UAUCUGGUUGAUCCUGCCAGUAGUCAUAUGCUUGUCUCAAAGAUUAAGCCAUGCAUGUCUAAGUACAAACCUUAAUACGGUGAAACCGCGAAUGGCUCAUUAAAUCAGCUAUGGUUCCUUAGAUCGUCUCAUCCUACUCGGAUAACUGUGGAAAAUCUAGAGCUAAUACGUGCUUACAAGCCCUGACCUCACGGGAGGGGCGCAUUUAUUAGAUCAAAACCAAUCGGGGCUUGCCCCGUCUGCUUGGUGACUCUGGAUAACUUUUGUGCUGAUCGCAUGGCCUCUGCGCUGGCGACGUAUCUUUCAAGUGUCUGCCCUAUCAACUUACGAUGGUAGGUGAUAUGCCUACCAUGGUUAUAACGGGUAACGGGGAAUCAGGGUUCGAUUCCGGAGAGGGAGCCUGAGAAACGGCUACCACAUCUAAGGAAGGCAGCAGGCGCGCAAAUUACCCACUCCCGGCACGGGGAGGUAGUGACGAAAAAUAACGAUACGGGACUCUUUUGAGGCCCCGUAAUUGGAAUGAGUACACUUUAAAUCCGUUAACAAGUAUCUAUUGGAGGGCAAGUCUGGUGCCAGCAGCCGCGGUAAUUCCAGCUCCAAUAGCGUAUAUUAAUGUUGCUGCAGUUAAAAAGCUCGUAGUUGGAUCUGAGGACUCGAAUUGGUGGUGCACCAUACGGUGUUACUGCCGAUUCGGCCUACCUAGUCGGUGCUCGCUCUUGGUGUUCUUAAUUGAAUGCCCUGAGUGCCCGGCAAGUUUACUUUGAAAAAAUUAGAGUGCUCAAAGCAGGCCAUUAGCCGGAAUACUUCAGCAUGGAAUAAUGGAAUAGGACUUCGGUUCUAUUUUGUUGGUUUUCGGAACCCGAGGUAAUGAUUAAGAGAGACAGACGGGGGCAUUCGUACUGCGGUGUUUAGAAG
rnacentral:ncRNA from 1 species